CCUACGGGUGGCAGCAGUGAGGAAUAUUGGUCAAUGGACGAGAGUCUGAACCAGCCAAGUAGCGUGAAGGAUGACUGCCCUAUGGGUUGUAAACUUCUUUUAUAUGGGAAUAAAAUGUUCCACGUGUGGGAUUUUGUAUGUACCAUAUGAAUAAGGAUCGGCUAACUCCGUGCCAGCAGCCGCGGUAAUACGGAGGAUCCGAGCGUUAUCCGGAUUUAUUGGGUUUAAAGGGAGCGUAGGUGGAUUGUUAAGUCAGUUGUGAAAGUUUGCGGCUCGACCGUAAAAUUGCAGUUGAAACUGGCAGUCUUGAGUACAGUAGAGGUGGGCGGAAUUCGUGGUGUAGCGGUGAAAUGCUUAGAUAUCACGAAGAACUCCGAUUGCGAAGGCAGUUCACUGGACUGCAACUGACACUGAGGCUCGAAAGUGUGGGUAUCAAACAGGAUUAGAUACCCUUGUAGUC
rnacentral:rRNA from 1 species